rnacentral:rRNA from 1 species
CAGUCGCCGCGGGAACACGUAGGGUGCGAGCGUUAAUCGGAAUUAUUGGGCGUAAAGGGUGCGUAGGCGGUUUGGUAAGUCUGAUGUGAAAUCUAUGGGCUCAACUCAUAGUCUGCAUCGGAAACUGCCGGGCUUGAGUAUGGGAGAGGUGAGUGGAAUUCCUGGUGUAGCGGUGAAAUGCGUAGAUAUCAGGAGGAACACCUGUGGCGAAAGCGGCUCACUGGACCAUAACUGACGCUGAUGCACGAAAGCUAGGGGAGCAAACAGGAUUAGAGACCCCAGUAGUCCCUGUCUCUUAUAC